rnacentral:rRNA from 1 species
UACGUAGGGUGCGAGCGUUAAUCGGAAUUACUGGGCGUAAAGCGUGCGCAGGCGGUUGGGUAAGACAGAUGUGAAAUCCCCGGGCUUAACCUGGGAACUGCAUUUGUGACUGUCCGACUGGAGUGCGUCAGAGGGGGGUGGAAUUCCACGUGUAGCAGUGAAAUGCGUAGAUAUGUGGAAGAACACCGAUGGCGAAGGCAGCCCCCUGGGACGCAACUGACGCUCAUGCACGAAAGCGUGGGGAGCAAACAGG